GAUGAAGAACGUAGCAAAAUGCGAUAAGUAAUGUGAAUUGCAGAAUUCAGUGAAUCAUCGAAUCUUUGAACGCACAUUGCGCCCGCUGGUAUUCCGGCGGGCAUGCCUGUUCGAGCGUCAUUUCAACCCUCAAGCCCCCCGGGUUUGGUGUUGGGGAUCGGCUCUGCCUCACGGCGGUGCCGCCCCCGAAAUACAUUGGCGGUCUCGCUGCAGCCUCCAUUGCGUAGUAGCUAACACCUCGCAACUGGAACGCGGCGCGGCCAUGCCGUAAAACCCCAACUUCUGAAUGUUGACCUCGGAUCAGGUAGGAAUACCCGCUGAACUUAAGCAUAUCAAUAAGGGAGGA
rnacentral:misc_RNA from 1 species